CAGCCGCCGCGGUAAUACGUAGGGUGCGAGCGUUAAUCGGAUUUACUGGGCGUAAAGCGUGCGCAGGCGGCCCGUUAAGACAGGUGUGAAAUCCCUGGGCUCAACCUAGGAAUUGCGCUUGUGACUGGCGGGCUCGAGUACGGUAGAGGGGGGUGGAAUUCCUGGUGUAGCAGUGAAAUGCGUAGAGAUCAGGAGGAACACCGAUGGCGAAGGCAGCCCCCUGGGCCUGUACUGACGCUCAUGCACGAAAGCGUGGGGAGCAAACAGGAUUAGAUACCCAGGUAGUCCACGCCCUAAACGAUGGGUACUAGCCGUUUGGUGCGCGAUAGCGCUGAGUGGCGAAGCUAACGCGUGAAGUACCCCGCCUGGGGAGUACGGCCGCAAGGUUGAAACUUAAAGGAAUUGGCGGG
rnacentral:rRNA from 1 species